CGGGGAUAGCCUUGCGAAAGCAAGAUUAAUACCCGAUGUUCUCACUGUUCCGCAUGUUACGGUGAGCAAAGAAUUUCGGUAUGCGAUGGCGAUGCGUCCAUUAGCUAGUUGGCGGGGUAACGGCCCACCAAGGCUCCGAUGGGUAGGGGUUCUGAGAGGAAGGUCCCCCACACUGGAACUGAGACACGGUCCAGACUCCUACGGGAGGCAGCAGUGAGGAAUAUUGGUCAAUGGACGCAAGUCUGAACCAGCCAAGUAGCGUGCAGGAUGACGGCCCUCCGGGUUGUAAACUGCUUUUAGUUGGGAAUAAAAGGGGGCUCGUGAGCCCCGUAUUGUAUGUACCAUCAGAAAAAGGACCGGCUAAUUCCGUGCCAGCAGCCGCGGUAAUACGGAAGGUCCGGGCGUUAUCCGGAUUUAUUGGGUUUAAAGGGAGCGUAGGCCGGCUUUUAAGUCAGCUGUGAAAGUCCGCGGCUCAACCGUGGAAUUGCAGUUGAAACUGGAGGCCUUGAGUGCACACAGGGAUGCCGGAAUUCAUGGUGUAGCGGUGAAAUGCUUAGAUAUCAUGAAGAACUCCGAUCGCGAAGGCAAGUGUCCGGGGUGCAACUGACGCUGAGGCUCGAAAGUGCGGGUAUCAAACAGGAUUAGAUACCCUGGUAGUCCGCACCGUAAAC
rnacentral:rRNA from 1 species